GGUUAAGCGACUAAGCGUACACGGUGGAUGCCCUGGCAGUCAGAGGCGAUGAAGGGCGUGCUAAUCUGCGAUAAGCGCCGGUAAGGUGAUAUGAACCGUUAUAACCGGCGAUACCCGAAUGGGGAAACCCAGUGUGAUUCGUCACACUAUCAUUAACUGAAUCCAUAGGUUAAUGAGGCGAACCGGGGGAACUGAAACAUCUAAGUACCCCGAGGAAAAGAAAUCAACCGAGAUUCCCCCAGUAGCGGCGAGCGAACGGGGAGGAGCCCAGAGCCUGAAUCAGCAUGUGUGUUAGUGGAAGCGUCUGGAAAGGCGCGCGAUACAGGGUGACAGCCCCGUACACAAAAGCGCAUGUGCUGUGAGCUCGAUGAGUAGGGCGGGACACGUGGUAUCCUGUCUGAAUAUGGGGGGACCAUCCUCCAAGGCUAAAUACUCCUGACUGACCGAUAGUGAACCAGUACCGUGAGGGAAAGGCGAAAAGAACCCCGGCGAGGGGAGUGAAAAAGAACCUGAAACCGUGUACGUACAAGCAGUGGGAGCACCCUUUGGGUGUGACUGCGUACCUUUUGUAUAAUGGGUCAGCGACUUAUAUUCUGUAGCAAGGUUAACCGAAUAGGGGAGCCGGAGGGAAACCGAGUCUUAACCGGGCGUUAAGUUGCAGGGUAUAGACCCGAAACCCGGUGAUCUAGCCAUGGGCAGGUUGAAGG
rnacentral:rRNA from 2 species